rnacentral:rRNA from 1 species
AUACGUAGGGAGCGAGCGUUGUCCGGAAUUACUGGGCGUAAAGGGCGCGUAGGCGGCGCUUCAAGUCGUCUGUCAAAUGGGAGGGCUUAACCCUUUUUCGCAGACGAAACUGGAGAGCUUGAGAAGCAGAGAGGCAAACAGAAUUCCUGGUGUAGCGGUGAAAUGCGUAGAUAUCAGGAAGAAUACCAGUGGCGAAGGCGGUUUGCUGGCUGCAUACUGACGCUGAAGCGCGAAAGCCAGGGGAGCAAACGGGAUUGGAUACCCCGGUAGUCCUGGCAGUAAACGAUGUAUGCUGGGUGUGAGACUAGCGAUAGUUUCGUGCCGAAGUUAACGCGAUAAGCAUACCGCCUGGGGAGUACGGUCGCAAGAUUGAAACUCAAAUGAAUUGACGGGG